rnacentral:rRNA from 1 species
CAGUCGCCACGGUAAUACGUAGGUGGCAAGCGUUGUCCGGAAUUAUUGGGCGUAAAGGGCUCGCAGGCGGUUUCUUAAGUCUGAUGUGAAAGCCCCCGGCUCAACCGGGGAGGGUCAUUGGAAACUGGGAAACUUGAGUGCAGAAGAGGAGAGUGGAAUUCCACGUGUAGCGGUGAAAUGCGUAGAGAUGUGGAGGAACACCAGUGGCGAAGGCGACUCUCUGGUCUGUAACUGACGCUGAGGAGCGAAAGCGUGGGGAGCAAACAGGAUUAGAUACCCCUGUAGUCCCUGUCUCUUAUAC